CUGCAGCUCAAGUGGUGAUCAUUAUUAUUGGGCCUAAAACGUCCGUAGCCGGUUUAGUAAAUGCCUGGGUAAAUCGUGUAGCUUAACUAUACGACUUCCGGGUAGACUGCUAAACUUGAGACCGGGAGAGGCUAGAGGUACUCCUGGGGUAGAGGUGAAAUUCUGUAAUCCUAGGGGGACCACCAGUGGCGAGGGCGUCUAGCUAGAACGGGUCUGACGGUGAGGGACGAAGCCCUGGGGCGCAAAUCGGAUUAGAUACCCGAGUAGUCC
rnacentral:rRNA from 1 species